UCUUAGCCAUCCAUUUUCCCCACCGCUUGAUCCCAGCCGUCCAUUAUCACUUGGACACAUCUAUAUACAUGGGGAACAGUAUGAAGACUCGGGAGAAUUCGGGAGAGAGAGAACUAGAGUUCUCCGACCCAGACGCCACCGCGACCCGAGAAGAAACCCGGCCGUCGCGCCACCAUCCGGCCACCCCAUGACGGCGCAUACCCACCAUUCCCUUCGCCUCCGCGUUGUCUACGUCCCUGUGGUUCCAGAUCUUACAUGCAGCGACUACAAGCGGGGAUUCGACGACGGAAAGCCUUGGGUCUCCUCCGGCGAUUUCUGCAAACUCCGGCGACUCGAGUCACCGACAGAGCCGCUUGUGCUGCACUCCUAGCCCCCAAUCGAGAAGUCUGUCGAAUUUCUGGUGUGUAAAUCAUCAGUUCAUGACCAUUUCCGUCUCGGCAGUGGGGUUCUGGGGACUGAGUUUGGCUCGAUUGACGUAGAUUUCUGAUUACAAAGGCUAGGUUCGGCUUGCUGUGUUCUUCGUUGGAAAGCAGACCUGCAAUUCGAGGUUCCUUUUCGAUCUAGUCGAUCACAAGGUGAGUUGGGUUCUGUUGAAGGUCUGAGAAUUUACACUUCUGGAAACUGGGCUGCCUUGUAGCAUGCAUGCUGUGAUGUUGUGUUUGAGAAGAAUAAAUUGGUAGUUAGUCAGAAGAAAUCGAAAGCUAUGUUGUGAGCUUGCUGUUUUGUCCAUGUUUGCUAAGAUUGUAGUUGUUAAAUGAUUUUGGUGAUGGAUGUUGUAGUAUGUUUCUUAUUCUGGUGAAAAUGACAAAGCAUAAAUAUGCAGGUAUGCGUUUAGUUGAA